GGGGCAGUAGUUCAGUUGGGAGAACGCCACGUUCGCAACGUGGAGGUCGCGGGUUCGACUCCCGCCUGCUCCA
rnacentral:tRNA from 1 species